UUAGUUUCCUUUCUUCAGAUGAUUUCAUGUUCUCAAGCAAGCACUCUACAUCUUUGGUGGAAUCAAUUGGCAGGACAGAUGCAUUAGCAUUUCCUAUUCUCUUCUUGUACUAGUAGUAGUCCCGCAUACCAAAUCCAAGUUCUUCUUUCAAACUCAACAACCAGACGAAGUCUACUUGUUUCCUGUCAAAUUUAGUCCUAACCCGGCGCACUAAUUGUCCAUCUGCCCCCAAGCAAUGUAUCAUUACCUCCCACUCACCUGUC
rnacentral:lncRNA from 1 species